CCACCGCGUUCUUCCUGGGGAGACAGUGAGAAACUGAGUGUGUUUCUCUUUUUAUUUAAAAGGAAGUGUUAAACAUAUCCUUGAGGAGCAGUCAACAGUUUCUUUCAGUGGCAAGUCCCCAGGUGCUAAGCUGCUGAUGUCCAUUGUAUUCUGGACAGCCUAUUAAUCUGAAGAGUGGGAUGGAACCAUAGAACCAUUGUUACUACAAAGCCAGGAGGUUUCUGGUAAGCACACUAUGAAGAAUAUAAAGAGAUAUUCAGAUACACUGCUGCAUAAGGAAAGAUAAUGUGCCUGGAUCUGCCAUUAAAAAUGGAGUUCUAAAAUGAGGUAGAAUAAUUACAUAUAAAUAUUUAUUUCCUUUUCUUCUAUUUACUUGUGCAUGAAAAAGAAAUGGCACAUGCUAAAAACCAAAGGAGCUGUUGUCUGAUCACUCGAUCAAUAAGUCACAAUAUGAAACAAACAAAACCCCUCAAGGAGAACAACUCUGCUUUCAGUUGGGACUGGGACUGAAGGAAGGAAGAAAUGAAGAAAGCAAGUAGAUCAUACACAGGCUUUGCAUUUGGUGGCCACUGGGCAUGUGAUGCCAUUACCCAGGUUGCCCAAAAGGUCCUGAGUGCCCAGUGACUGAGAUGUUCCAGCUGCUACUGGCUAGUGGAAAGGAAUUGUCCCCUAGGAAGAAGCAAUUUCCAAAGCUAGGAAAUGCUGCUGACCAUGCUGGGAGCACACAGGGGCAACCUGCAGCAAGCUCUGUCACCUGGGCAAGGGGACAUGCACACGCCAAGGUCUCUCUGUGCCCCCAACUUACCGUGGAGUCUGCCCCAUCCAGCACAUUUUGUAUCAGUCUUUUC